rnacentral:lncRNA from 1 species
GAAAUUGAUAGAUGAGGUAAGAGAUGGAGAUUUAACCUAUCAUAUAACACGAAAAUUUAACCUAUUAAAUAUUGAAGGUGGGGAUCGAAUCCACGAGUCCACAGAAUGAAGGGGUUUAAAAUUGGCUCUGAUACUAUGUAGUCUAAAAGAUCGAUCUUUUGGACAACAAUACUAUGUAAUCUAACAGUGCGAUCUUUUGGUUAUAAAUUUUAUGCAAACUAAAUGAUUAAUCUUAAAGGGUAAUAUGGUAACACAACCAAUUAUGAAUCUCUUCAUUCUUUGUGAUCGUAGAUUUGAUCCCUACCUUCAACAUUUAACAGGUUAAAUAUGAUGGAUUAAAUCUCUUAUUUUACCUCAUCUAUUGAUUCCACGUCUUUUUCAUAUUCGUCAUACAUAUGAAUGGGGGUGUUAAUGUGUGUUCUUCACAUUAUAAUUCUAGGUCGUUUCCUGCUAGAUAAAUCUUUUGGGUAACAUAGGUAAAAAUAUAUCUUUUGGGAAUGUCAAUAUAGCUAUUUUACAAUUCAACUAAGUUUAGGUUAAGAAUAUAUAUUAACACCACCAUUCAUUUGCAUGAUGGAUAUGAACGAUACAUGGAAUCGAUAGGUGAGGUAAGAGUUGAAGAUUUGACCUAUCAUAUAAUACAUAAAUCUAACCUGAUAAAUGUUGAUGGUGGGGAUCGAACUUACGACCUCACAGAAUAAAGGAGUUUAGAAUUGGUUUUGAUACCUAGUAACCUAAAAGAUCAUUUUUUAGGUAACAAUUCUAUGUAACCUAAAUGAUCAUGCAUGAUGAAAUAGCUAGAAAUAUAUAUAAACAUUCUUAUUGACAUGCAUGAGGAAUAUGAAAGACACGUGAAAUUAAUAGGUGAGGUAAUAGAUGGAAAUUUAACCCAUCAUAUAAUAUAAAAAUUUAACAUAUUAAAUGUUGAAGGUAGAGGGAAUAGGGGGUGGAUUCAUUGGAAUUGAUGGUGAGGUAAAAGAUCGAGAUUUUACCCAUCAUAUAAUACCAAAAUUUGGCGUGUUAAAUAUUAAAGGUGGGGAUCGAAGCCAUGACCUCACAGAACAAAAGGGUUUAAAAUGGCUCUGAUACUAUGUAAACUAAAAGAUUGAUCUUUUUCGUAACAAUACAAUGUAACCUAAAUGAUCAAUCUUUUAGGGUAAUAUGGUAUCGAAGCCAAUUCUAAAUCCUUUCAUUCUGUGAGGUCGUAUGUUCGAUCCCCACUUUCAACAUUUAUCAGGUUAAAUAUGAUGGAUUAAAUCCCCAUCUCUUACCUCAUCUAUUAAGUACACGUGUCUUUAAUAUCUAUCAUGUGCAUGUAUUGGGGUGUUAAUUAUAUUCCUUGGCCUAUAUUUCUUGGCUGUUUCCUACCAGAUUGAUCUUUUGGAUAACAUAGAUAAAAUAUAUCUAUUGAGCAUAGUCCAUUUAGCUAUUUUACUAUUCAACUAAGCUUAGGUUAAGAAUAUAUAUUUGCGCCCAUGAUUCACAUGUAUGAUGGAUAUGAAAGACAUAUGAAAUCGAUUUGUGAGGUAAGAAUUGGAGAUUUAACCUAUCAUAUAGUAUGGAAAGCUAGCUUGUUAAAUGUUGAAUGUGGGGAUCGAACCUAUGACCUUAUAGAAUAGAGGAGUUUAGAAUUGUCUCUGAUUCCAUGUAACCUAAAAAAUUGAUCUUUUUGGUAUCAAUACCAUGUAACCUAAAUGAUCAUGCAUGAAGAACUAGCUAGGAAUAUAUAUAUAUAUAUAUAUGUAUAUAUAUAUAUAUAUAUGUAUAUAUAUAUAUAUAUAUGUAUAUUCAGGCCUGGAAUAGCUAUCAUACACACCAAUACAGUUGGUUGCUUAUUAGUUUUUUAGCCUUUGAUUGAAAAACUUGCGCUUAGGAGAUUGGCCCCUAGGAUUGAAGUGGGUGUUGGUUGGGUUGAUAUAUAUAACUCAUAACGGUAAAAAAUAAUAUAGGGUUUAAAUCUACUUAACGGUGAAAUCUGCGAUAAAACCCAACCUUUGUGCUAUCGAUAGUAUCCCUGGCUGGACUCAUAUAUAAUAUAUAUUAUAGUUAAUAUAUUAUUUUAUUAAUUAUAUAAUACUAUAAGACUUCCAUUCACAUGCGUAAUGAAUGUAAAAACCACGUGGAUCGAUUGGUGAGGUAGGAUAUGAAGAUUUAACCCUUAAUAUAGUACAAAAAAUUAAUCUAUUAAAUAUUAAAGGUAGGGGGUAGGGGGCCAAAAAUUUAUAUUAACACCCCUAAUAUAUGUGCAUGAUGAAUAUGAAAGAUAUGUGGAAUCGAUGAGUAAGGUAAGAGAUGGAGAUUUAACCCAUCAUAUAAUAUGAAAAUUUAACCUGUUAAAUACUUAAGGUGAGGAUCAAACCUACGAUCUCACAAAAUGAAGGGGUUUAGAAUUGGCUUUGAUACACCAUGUAACCUAAGAGAUUGAUCUUUUGGGUAACAAUACUAUGAAACCUACAAGAUCGAUUAUUUGGGUAAUAAUACCAUGUAAACAUAAAUGAUCGAUCUUUUGGGUAACAUGGUAUCAGAGUCAAUUCUAAUCCCUUCAUUCUUUGAGGUCGCGGUUUGGAUCCCCACGUUUAACAUUUAAUUGGUUAAAUAUGAUGGGUUAAAUUCUCAUCUUUUACCUCAUCGAUCAAUUUCACGUGUCUUUCAUAUACAUCAUGCAUAUGAAUAAGGGUGUUGAUGUAUAUUCUUGGUCCUAUAUUUCUUGGCAUUUUCCUAGUAGAUCAAUCUUUUGGGUAACAUAGGUAAAGAUAUAUCUUCUGAGUAUAGUCAAUUUAGCUAUUUUACAAUUCAACUAAGCUUAAGUUAAGAAUAUAUAUUAACACUCCCAUUCACCUGCACGAUGGAUAUGAAGACAUGUGGAAUCGAUUGAUGAGGUAAGAGUUAGAGAUUUAACCAAUUAUAUAAUAAGGAAAUCUAACCUAUUAAAUGUUGAAGGUGGGGAUCGAACUUACGACCUUAUUGAACGAAGGAGUUUAUAAUUGACUCUCAUAUCCUAUAACCUAGAAGAUCGAUCUUUUAGGUAACAAUACUAUAUAAUCUAAAUGAUCGACAUAAUAAACUGGCCAGAUAUAUAUAUAAACAACCUCAUUUUUGUUCAUGAUGAAUAUAAAAGACACGUGAAAUCGAUAGGUGAGGUAAGAGAUGGAGAUUUAACCUAUUAUAUAAUAUAGAAUUUUAACCUAUUCAGAAUGAAGGAGUUUAGAAUUGGCUCUGAUACCAUGUUACUUAAAAAAUCGAUUUUUGGGUAACAAUACCAUCAAUCAUUUGGUGGUAACAUGCUAUUAGAGCCUACUUUAAAUGAGGUCCUGGGUUCGAUCCCCUCCUUCAACAUUUAAAAGGUUAAAUAUAAUGGGUUAAAUCUCCACCUCUUACCUUAUCUAUCGAUUUCAUGUGCUUGUUAUAUCUAUCAUG